CUUUCGGUAGUUUGCUAUUACUGUUCUUUAACAAAAAUUAAUGGUUCUUCUUCUGAAGAAGCCGAUUAUGAUAUUGUCAUCAAUAACAAUGAGGUACAACCUUACAUGUUUGAGCUUUUGGCCAACGCGCAAGGUGGUCAAAAUGAAGACAAUUCUUCGUCAUCGGAAAGCGAAGAUGAAUACAUUCACAGAAUUGGAAAUGUUGAAUGGUGCGAGUGUGGCUUUUGUGUGGUCAUGAGUAAAGGACGGGAAAGUAUAUGUUGCCAAGAGGUAAACAAUACUGAUCCUCUGAUACAUGGCGAUCAUAUUUGCAUCACACAAGAGGAAGAGUUUGCCACAGUGUGUACAAACGAAGCUGUCGUAAAAACAGCUAUGGUCGUGUACACACAUGACAUUGAACCUAUGCCUGAGAAGGAAGAAAACGACAUUACGCAACACGGCGUACCGACAGUGGACGGCUUAGGUGCAUGGCAGGUUGGGGAAAAGUACCGACUACCCAUACCUUCUUGUGCUGUGGACAAAAUCCGGAAAGCAUUUCCUUCGCCUUCUGGAGAAUACAAAGGAUUUGAAUAUGCUCAACACUACUGAAUGCGACAUUUAUGUUGCUUAAUGGCUUCAGCUUUGCUGAUUUUUGAUUUGUGGCAAGUCAAUGGGACAGGUAUUUCUUUCACUCCAGCGACAUCAAGAGCUUUGGACAGUGUUGGAUUAAUGCGUCUGCAGUACAAAAAUUCUAUCAUCAAGUCUUUAAACAUAUCCUGAAAAGCAAAUCAUUCUUUAUGUUCGCUUUGCAUUGCACUUUGAGAAAAGAAAAAAUGAGUAUGUUUUGGUGCAAAGAGAAAUACCACUCGGUGGAAACCUUCGAUGCAUGAAGUCUGCUUCUGAUAACUGAGUUUUCCAAUAUCUUUUAUGAGAUACUUGGACUCAACAAUCGAAGACAGCUCAACAUAAGCUUUUGAACCCAAGAUCAGAAGCUCUAACAUAUCAUGUUCACAUUUUGGGAAUACAUCGUUAUGUCCCUCAUGGAUGUCACAUAUAUGAUUGAGAACUGACAACCACUUUGCCUUGACAAGUUCUUCAUCACCAUUGCUGGAAGCAGCACACUAGUAUACAUGGUUGGAAAUUGAUUGGGCCCAAUCUGACAAUAAUUUGCAACCACUUUUUUUGAUGCUGCCAAAAUUUUCUUUUUGAUUCCUGUUGAAUUUUGAUUAUUGAUGAAAUGUGUUGUAAUUUACGGCAACGAACUUUAGGUCAUUAGAAAGAGCUCGACGAGAGCUUUAAUGAGCUAAAGAUUAAUGAUUUUGCUGCAAUACUUUAGAAGAUAGGAUCUGCGAAUGCGCAAAAAAUACAGUGCAUGCGCAGAUCCUAUUUCUUGAAUUAUUAGGGCUAUCUGCGGUAAUGAUGUUUAGCUUCGAAAGAGCUCGACGAGAGCUUUAAGAUGAGCGAAAGAUUAAUGAGUUUGCUCCAAUACUUUAGAAGAUAGGAUCUGCGAAUGCGCAAAAAAUACAGUGCAUGCGCAGAUCCUAUUUCUUGAAUUAUUAGGGCUAUCUGCGGUAAUGAUCUUUAGCUUCGAAAGAGCUCGACGAAAGCUUUAAAAUUCUUAGAUCAUCUUAAAGUUCUCGUCGAGCUCUUUCGAAGCUAAACAUCAUUACCGUUGAUAGCUCUAAUAAUUUAGGACAUAGGAUCUGCAAUCAUCUGAAACCACAGGAGUGAUUUCUCGUUGGCCUUCUUGUCGAGCGGCUUGCAACCACUGAUCUGAUAAUAGACCUAUCAUCAGUUCAGUCUAUUAUCAGAUAGGUCUAUUAUGAGAUCAGUGCUUGCAACAGACUUGCAAAAUACUACAUUUAUAAAUGGAUCAUGCUCGAAUUUCAUAAUAUACGAAAUAUGUGGAUUGUUUACAAUCAAAUUCAGGGGCAAAUCUGAAAGUUGACUACGGCACUAAUGACACCGACCGCUUCGAUGCUGUCUUGAAGAAAUAAACCUUUCUACUGUGUCUACAUGUAUAAUAUAAAAGUCAGAAGCGGAAUGCAUUUGUAUUCUAUUUAAAGAAAUAAACCCCUGUACUUGUCUGUUGUUUUCUAUUA